rnacentral:rRNA from 1 species
GGGGGGGGGGGGGGGCGGGGGGAGGGGGGGGGAGGGGGGGGGGGGGGGGGAGGGGGCGCGGGGAGGCGGCGGGGGAGGGGGGCGGAAUGGCGAGGGAGGUGCGCGGGAGUGCGGGAUAACGGCCGGAAAACGGCCAUAAUAGCGUAUACGUACUGAGGGAGACAGUCCGGCUGCUGCGCACAGCAGUCUGUCAGCAGAGCCUAGGGCGGAUUAGCUUGUUGGUGAGGUAAAGGCCUACUAAGGCUAUGAUGCGUAACUGGUCCGAGAGGAUGAUCAGUCACACUGGAACUGAGACACGGUCCAGACUCCUACGGGAGGCAGCAGUUGGGAAUAUUGGGCAAUGGGUGAAAGCCUGAUCCAGCCAUGCCGCGUGUGUGAAGAAGGUCUUCGGAUUGUAAAGCACUUUAAGUUGGGAGGAAGGGCAGUAAGUUAAUACCUUGCUGUUUUGACGUUACCAACAGAAUAAGCACCGGCUAACUUCGUG